AGAUAUAUAAAGAGUUGUUUUGAACUUGCAUUGUCUUUAAAACGAUAAUUUUUGCCAAAAUCAAAGAGUUCAAUGUUAAUUACCCAAUUGACAAAAUAGGCGAAAUAACCUAGCUAUACAAAAUAAAACAACUCACCAACAAACAAGAAAAUAGAUUCUAGAGUCAAGUAAUAAAAGAAUCAGAAAAUCAAAUCCAACGAUCAAUCAGAAACAAAAAAUAAUAAUUACCAAUAAAAACUCACAUUACCCAUACCCAAAAUUGGGGGCUAGGCUAAGAAUAGAGAGAGGUAUUGAAGCCUAAAUGCAGACCUACCAAAGCUUGAGAAUGGACUGUGUAUGAGACCUGUGAUGUGAGAGACAAUGGAGAGCCGACGUAUGUAAGAGACUGAAAAUUUUUGUGGAAGGGAGAGACUGAAGAUUUUUU
rnacentral:misc_RNA from 1 species